UACAGAGGUCCCAAGCGUUGUUCGGAUUCAUUGGGCGUAAAGGGUGCGUAGGCGGCCAUCUAAGUCAGACGUGAAAUCCCCCGGCUCAACCUGGGAACUGCGUCUGAUACUGGACGGCUUGAGUUUUGGAGAGGGAUGUAGAAUUCCAGGUGUAGCGGUGAAAUGCGUAGAUAUCUGGAGGAAUACCGGUGGCGAAGGCGGCCACCUGGACGGUAACUGACGCUGAGACGCGAAAGCGUGGGGAGCAAACAGG
rnacentral:rRNA from 1 species